rnacentral:tRNA from 1 species
GGGGUUUUAGCUCAGUGGUAGAGCACUUGCCUAGCAAGCACAAGGCCCUGGGUUCAGUCCUCGGCUCUG